GGGGGUAAAAAAAAGUUCCCCAAAAAAUCUUCAAAAGUGACCUCACAGCUAAUAGCUUAUUUAGAGGGCAUGCAGGUAAAAGCCUGUCCAGCCAUUUAACUACUAAUGUAAAAUGGCAGGAGUUACUGAAUGGUUCAGUGACUUUGUCUGGAAGUGUGGUCUAU